AUACGGAGGGUGCAAGCGUUACUCGGAAUCACUGGGCGUAAAGCGCGCGCAGGCGGUCUUUUAAGUUGGAUGUGAAAGCCUACGGCUCAACCGUAGAACUGCAUCCAAAACUAUUAGACUAGAGUGUGGGAGAGGAAGAUGGAAUUAGUUGUGUAGGGGUAAAAUCCGUAGAGAUAACUAGGAAUACCAAAAGCGAAGGCAAUCUUCUGCAACACUACUGACGCUGAGGCGCGAAGGCGUGGGGAGCAAACAGGAUUAGAAACCCCGGUAGUCC
rnacentral:rRNA from 1 species